UACUCUCAAUCCCACGACUUUAUGUUGUGUGAUUGGACUUGGAUCCUGUCGCAGUUGUGACUGAUCCGAAAUGCAUCAGCGUGUGUCUGUCGUGACAAUAAACCGAUUGUUAAAUUUCAUCGGGCUCGCUCUGUCGAGGUUGUCUGGCAAAAGCACAUGCUAAACCCCCUACAUUUUGACA
rnacentral:misc_RNA from 1 species